GACGAACGCUGGCGGCGUGCCUAAUACAUGCAAGUUGAGCGCUGAAGGUUGGUACUUGUACCAACUGGAUGAGCAGCGAACGGGUGAGUAACGCGUGGGGAAUCUGCCUUUGAGCGGGGGACAACAUUUGGAAACGAAUGCUAAUACCGCAUAAAAACUUUAAACACAAGUUUUAAGUUUGCAAGAUGCACUUGCAUCACUCCAAGAUGAUCCCGCGUUGUAUUAGCUAGUUGGUGAGGUAAAGGCUCACCAAGGCGAUGAUACAUAGCCGACCUGAGAGGGUGAUCGGCCACAUUGGGACUGAGACACGGCCCAAACUCCUACGGGAGGCAGCAGUAGGGAAUCUUCGGCAAUGGACGAAAGUCUGACCGAGCAACGCCGCGUGAGUGAAGAAGGUUUUCGGAUCGUAAAACUCUGUUGGUAGAGAAGAACGUUGGUGAGAGUGGAAAGCUCAUCAAGUGACGGUAACUACCCAGAAAGGGACGGCUAACUACGUG
rnacentral:rRNA from 1 species